CUGGUGGCGAGUGGCGAACGGGUGAGUAAUACAUCGGAACGUGCCCUGUAGUGGGGGAUAACUAGUCGAAAGAUUAGCUAAUACCGCAUACGACCUGAGGGUGAAAGCGGGGGACCGCAAGGCCUCGCGCUACAGGAGCGGCCGAUGUCUGAUUAGCUAGUUGGUGGGGUAAAAGCCUACCAAGGCGACGAUCAGUAGCUGGUCUGAGAGGACGAUCAGCCACACUGGGACUGAGACACGGCCCAGACUCCUACGGGAGGCAGCAGUGGGGAAUUUUGGACAAUGGGGGCAACCCUGAUCCAGCAAUGCCGCGUGUGUGAAGAAGGCCUUCGGGUUGUAAAGCACUUUUGUCCGGAAAGAAAUGGCCUGGGUUAAUACCUGGGGUCGAUGACGGUACCGGAAGAAUAAGCACCGGCUAACUACGUGCCAGCAGCCGCGGUAAUACGUAGGGUGCGAGCGUUAAUCGGAAUUACUGGGCGUAAAGCGUGCGCAGGCGGUUUUGUAAGACAGGCGUGAAAUCCCCGAGCUCAACUUGGGAAUGGCGCUUGUGACUGCAAGGCUAGAGUAUGUCAGAGGGGGGUAGAAUUCCACGUGUAGCAGUGAAAUGCGUAGAGAUGUGGAGGAAUACCGAUGGCGAAGGCAGCCCCCUGGGACGUCACUGACGCUCAUGCACGAAAGCGUGGGGAGCAAACAGGAUUAGAUACCCUGGUAGUCCACGCCCUAAACGAUGUCAACUAGUUGUUGGGGAUUCAUUUCUUCAGUAACGUAGCUAACGCGUGAAGUUGACCGCCUGGGGAGUACGGUCGCAAGAUUAAAACUCAAAGGAAUUGACGGGGACCCGCACAAGCGGUGGAUGAUGUGGAUUAAUUCGAUGCAACGCGAAAAACCUUACCUACCCUUGACAUGCCACUAACGAAG
rnacentral:rRNA from 1 species